GAUGAAGAACGUAGCGAAAUGCGAUAAGUAAUGUGAAUUGCAGAAUUCAGUGAAUCAUCGAAUCUUUGAACGCACCUUGCGCUCUUUGGUAUUCCGAAGAGCAUGCCUGUUUGAGUGUCAUGAAAAUAUCAACCUUGACUUGGGUUUUGUGCUCUAGUCUCGGCUUGGAAUUGGGUGCUUGCCGCUUUUACGAGCGGCUCACCUUAAAUGUAUUAGCUGGAUCUGUCUUUGAGACUUGGUUUGACUUGGCGUAAUAAGUAUUUCGCUAAGGACAUUCUUCGGAGUGGCCUCGUUUCUAGGACGCUUGUCCGCCUUCCAAUACAAGUUCCACCUCGUGGACAUGACUUUUUAUUAUCUGGCCUCAAAUCAGGUAGGACUACCCGCUGAACUUAAGCAUAUCAAUAAGCGGAGGA
rnacentral:misc_RNA from 1 species